UACGUAGGGGGCAAGCGUUGUCCGGAUUUAUUGGGCGUAAAGAGCGUGUAGGCGGUUUGGUAGGUCCGCUGUGAAAACUCGAGGCUCAACCUCGAGACGCCGGUGGAAACCAUCAGGCUAGAGUCCGGAAGAGGAGAGUGGAAUUCCUGGUGUAGCGGUGAAAUGCGCAGAUAUCAGGAAGAACACCCGUGGCGUAAGGCGGCUCUCUAGGACGGUACUGACGCUGAGACGCGAAAGCGUGGGGAGCGAACAGG
rnacentral:rRNA from 1 species